rnacentral:lncRNA from 1 species
AGAAAGGACGCCUCAACUUCGGGGUCGAUGAAGAAAGCCAGGACAGAGGGGACAAGCUCGGCCGCGCCUGCUCCAACGCCCGUCGCCGUCGAAGUCCCCUCCGACGCCGAACCUGAAGUCCCCCAAAUCCUUUCAUAGAGCCCCCUGGCCAAGGGUCCCGUUUCGAAGGUUCAUCCCGAGGGGGCUCCUGGGGCCGAAGGGAGGAAGAGAAAGAAAACCCUAGCCCGG